GACAGAGGGUGCUAGCGUUGUUCGGAAUUACUGGGCGUAAAGGGCGCGUAGGCGGCUUGUUUAGUCGGGUGUGAAAUCCCGGGGCUCAACCCCGGAACUGCAUUCGAUACUGGCAGGCUAGAGACCGGAAGAGGUGGGUGGAAUACCCAGUGUAGAGGUGAAAUUCGUAGAUAUUGGGUGGAACACCGGUGGCGAAGGCGGCUCAGCUGGUCCGGUUCUGACGCUGAGGCGCGAAAGCGUGGGGAGCAAACAGG
rnacentral:rRNA from 1 species